rnacentral:rRNA from 1 species
AACGAACGCUGGCGGCAUGCCUAACACAUGCAAGUCGAACGAGAUCUUCGGGUCUAGUGGCGCACGGGUGCGUAACGCGUGGGAACCUGCCCUUUGGUUCGGAAUAACAGUUGGAAACGACUGCUAAUACCGGAUAAUGACGAAAGUCCAAAGAUUUAUCGCCAGAGGAUGAGCCCGCGUAGGAUUAGCUAGUUGGUGUGGUAAAGGCGCACCAAGGCGACGAUCCUUAGCUGGUCUGAGAGGAUGAUCAGCCACACUGGGACUGAGACACGGCCCAGACUCCUACGGGAGGCAGCAGUGGAGAAUAUUGGACAAUGGGCGAAAGCCUGAUCCAGCAAUGCCGCGUGAGUGAUGAAGGCCUUAGGGUUGUAAAGCUCUUCUACCCGGGAUGAUAAUGACAGUACCGGGAGAAUAAGCUCCGGCUAACUCCGUGCCAGCCGCCGCAGUAC